CUAAUUUUUUGUUGUUGUUGUUGUUGCGAUAAGGUCUCGCUGUAUUGUCCAGGCUGGUCUCAAACUCCUGAGCUCAAGCUAUCCUCCUGCCUUGGGCUCCCAAAGUGCUAGGAUUACAGGCAUGAGCCACUGUGCCUGGCCUAGUAUUGGUCAUUAGUAUUAGUAAUCAUUCCUAAAUGUAUAUGUAAACAUUUAUUUCAGUGUUAAAUAUUGAAGUGUUUGGUCUUUAUUUAGAAGUUUGAUGUUGUGUUUUAUGACCAGAAAUAUGCUGUGAACUUAAUUCUUUCUUAUAGCAGUUAGCCUAUGGGAAAAUUGGUUUUGUUCUACAUUAUUUUAUUUAAAGUCAUAAUUUCCAAGAUCCUAUCAACUCCAUUAAGUGAGGACUUACUGUACUGUAGCCUGAGGCUCAUCUUAGUCUUCCCUCAUCCCCCCUGCCUUUCCUUCACAGUCAGCCUGCAUGGUGGUCUGAGGCCUUCCCCCCUACAGCCUCUCCCCUUUAUCUUUCACGGUAAUCACCCCUCAUUACUCGUACUUCUAACUCCAUCUUGAAAGCUGCUUCCUGGAAGAUCCAAACGGACACAAGGAGGGACUGAAGGAUUAGAAUGAGGGAAGUAACCCAUGCACUGCUUAUUUGAGAUGGGGAACCGAAGGACUUUGGCAGUUCCUACACAGAGACAGAUGGCAGAGAUGACAAGGUUUCUCAGAGAAUGCGUGAGUAACUGGAAUGGCUUUUCCUGAUGACCCAGACAGCCUGCUCAAGAGCACACUGUUGCAGCUGCCCUCCUUGGAUGGAACUAUGGAAUGAUUUUUAUUCUUCUACUUCCCAGGUGAAUGGGAAACCAAGGACACAGUCAGCAUUUAACAAAAAGGAAUCUGCAUCUCAGUCAGAACUGUAUUGCAUUUGCUUCUCUCUGGAUUACCUUGAAGUUACUCCCCUUCCCUCAAUAAUAAUGGCAUUAUGAAAAAAAUUGGAAUUGAUCAAAUGAAGUAAAGAGUAAACAGAGGAAAGACUACCCAAAGUCUGUUUUGCUUCAGUUCGGGGCUGAUGAUCUGGGGAGGAGGAGGUUGGGACAUAUUUGUGCUGCAAGGAACAAUAUUGUUUCAUGCAGGGGAGGUGCAUGACUAACAAAAGGGUUAACUGGAUCCUAUAAGCUAUAGACAGCUUCUAGGCAGUGCCAACCUGUGCUGCAUACCUGAACAUUGUUGCUUCCCCCACGGAAGGUAAUAAGCUGUGGAGCUGCACAGGCAUUUUGUAUUACUCGUUUCACUCAUUGGCCUUGGUGCCUGCCAGAAAUUGAGGUCGGGGGAAAGGCAGAAGUUCACACUCCUGGACCCAGUUUGGCCAGUCCAGGCAGCCUGCUCUUCACAUCACUCCAGAGUUGGACCUGCCCAGAGUGGAACUAGAAUAGGGUGUGGGUAGCACCUGCUUCCCCUCCCAUAGAUUAGUGCCCUAGACGGGUAGCUCUGGCAGAGGGGCUGCCAAUAACCCAGAAUCCAGCACAACGAAAGGCACUUCUGGCCCAGCUCUGACUAACCCCACUGUUCUUCCUUUCCCCAGCUUCUUUCAAGCUGGAAUCAAUCUGUUGUUCUUCGGACCUGAGGUCAACAUGACUUUGAUGAACGGAAUUCAUGUCUUCUUGCUAAAGUUAUCUGGACACUUGGUACAACACAGAGUGUCUGAUAUCUGGGCCUGGGGAGACCUCAGAGGCCCUGGGGAGCCCAGAGACUUGUGGAGUGUCAGGGCAGCUCUCCUGCUGUGAAUGCAAGCUCCCUGGGAAAGUUCUCCCUAGAAAAAGAUGUGGGGGAGGAGCUCAGGUGAAGGACAGAGCCUCCUGCCCGUGGAGAGAAAGUGGGCCCUGGAGAAGCUGCAUGAGUCCUCUCCAGCAGAAGGGCCAGAGGUGCACAUUAGUGGGGCUCGGGUGGGUCUCAUGGUGACAUUGGCUGGAGAUGCCAAAUCCACAGGCGUUAGGCCUGGGCAGGUUCUAGUGUGCGAGUGGGCUAGUUUUUCUAGACUAGCACACAGGAAGAGGGUGGCCUGGCUUGCCUUCCCUCUGAAGCUCAGGACUGAGGCCCAGGACAUGUCUCACACCAUUGAUAUGAGUUGGGGACAGAUGGGUGGCAGAUGUGCCCAAUCAGGCUGCAUUGACACCUGACUGGCUGGAAGAAGAGCCUGUAAAGCAAAGAGCCCAGUCUUCCUGUAAGAAGGAAGAAGAUGGAGGGCUCAUCAUGCACGUGGGCCAGAAAAAGUGCCAGUGAGGUUGUUCUGACUCCAUAGGUGUUCUGGACAUAAUCUAGGCUGUCACAAAACAGCCAAGCCUGCUGCCAGUUUCCAAUCUGGGAUCUCAGGGAGGCCCAGGGGCUUGCUGAGUUCCACCUUCCCUCUUUCCCUUGGUUUGGAGACAACUUUCUCCCUGUGGUGAAUGUGACACUUAGAACAAGGUGCAGCCCUACUAAAAGCUGGAGCUUAGGUCACUGGGACUGUGUGCUAGGGGAAAGAGGGGGAGGGAAGAGCAGGGCUGUGGCAUUAGACAGACUUUGGCUGAAAUCUUGGACCUGCCUCCUACUAGCUGUGAGAUCUUAGCAAAUUACUUCCUGCUAUAGGCUAAAUGUCUGUGUCCCCCUAAAAUGCACAUGUUAAAUCCUGAUGCCCAAGGUGAUGGUAUUUGGAAGCGGGGCCUUUGGGAGGUGAUGAGGGUGGAAUCCUCAUGAAUGGGAUUAGUACCCUUAUGUAACAAGGCCCCAGAGAGCUCCCUCACACCUUCCACCAUGUAAGAUUACAGGGGAAAGACAGGCCCUUCAGCAGACACUGAAUCCACUGGCACCUUGAUCUUGGACUUCCUAGCCUCCAGACUGUGAGUAAUAAAUGUCUAUUGUUUAUAAGCC
ensembl:lncRNA antisense to KCNJ11 and overlapping to a novel gene